UCGCGAAAACUUUGCAAUAAGCGAAAGCUUGACAGGGCUAUCCCGAGUGCCAUCCGCUGAGGAAGGCUUUUACCCAGUCUAGUAAGCUGGGGGAAUAAGGAGAGGGCAAGUCUGGUGUCAGCCGCCGCGGUAAUACCAGCUCUCCGAGUGGUGUGGAUGUUUAUUGGGCCUAAAGCAUCCGUAGCUGGCUGAGUUAGUCCCCUGUUAAAUCCACCGAAUCAAUCGUUGGAUUGCGGGGGAUACUGCUCGGCUAGGGGACGGGAGAGGCAGACGGUAUUUCCGGGGUAAGGGUGAAAUCUUAUAAUCCCGGGAAGACCACCAGUGGCGAAGGCUGUCUGCUAGAACGCGCCCGACGGUGAGGGAUGAAAGCUGGGGUAGCGAACCGGAUUAGAUACCCGGGUAGUCCCAGCCGUAAACGAUGCAGGCUAGGUGUUUGGGCGGCCACGUGCCGCUCUAGUGCCGCAGGGAAGCUGUUAAGCCUGCCGCCUGGGGAGUACGAUCGCAAGAUUGAAACUUAAAGGAAUUGGCGGGGG
rnacentral:rRNA from 1 species